AGCGGAUCGAGUUCUGUGCAAUCCCCAGCUUUUUGUUGGUUUGGUCUCCGCAUCUUCUUUCCGGUACUGCACUCACAACGACUGAAUGAAACUGCACUGUGACCUCGUUGUGUGGACAUAGAGAGACCUUCUGUCAUACGCAUCUUCCCUGAUGUGGAUUUCUGGGAACCACGUUUAAAGCAAGCACAAGACUUCUUUCUUAAAGUGUGUCUUCCUGAACCUGUUGGGAAAUACUUCUCCAAACAAUGUGCUGCUCUAAAUA